UGGGGAAUAUUGCACAAUGGGCGCAAGCCUGAUGCAGCGACGCCGCGUGGGGGAUGACGGCCUUCGGGUUGUAAACCUCUUUCAGCCAUGACGAAGCGCAAGUGACGGUAAUGGCAGAAGAAGCACCGGCCAACUACGUGCCAGCAGCCGCGGUAAUACGUAGGGUGCGAGCGUUGUCCGGAAUUACUGGGCGUAAAGAGCUCGUAGGUGGUUUGUCGCGUUGUUCGUGAAAUGCCACAGCUUAACUGUGGGCGUGCGGGCGAUACGGGCAGACUGGAGUACUGCAGGGGAGACUGGAAUUCCUGGUGUAGCGGUGGAAUGCGCAGAUAUCAGGAGGAACACCGGUGGCGAAGGCGGGUCUCUGGGCAGUAACUGACGCUGAGGAGCGAAAGCGUGGGGAGCGAACA
rnacentral:rRNA from 1 species